rnacentral:tRNA from 1 species
CCUUCGAUAGCUCAGCUGGUAGAGCGGAGGACGGUAGAUUCUUAGGUCGCUGGUUCGAUUCCGGCUCGAAGGA